UAGGGAAUCUUCCGCAAUGGGCGAAAGCCUGACGGAGCAACGCCGCGAGUGUGAUGAAGGUCUUCGGAUUGUAAAACUCUGUUAUUAGGGAAGAACAAAUGUGUAAGUAACUAUGCACGUCUUGACGGUACCUAAUCAGAAAGCCACGGCUAACUACGUGCCAGCAGCCGCGGUAAUACGUAGGUGGCAAGCGUUAUCCGGUAUUAUUGGGCGUAAAGCGCGCGUAGGCGGUUUUUUAAGUCGGAUGUGAAAGCCUACGGCUCAACCGUGGCGGGUCAUUGGAAACUGGAAAACUUGAGUGCAGGAGAGGAAAGUGGAAUUCCAUGUGUAGCGGUGUAAUGCGCAGAGAUAUGGAGGAACACCAGUGGCGAAGGCGACUUUCUGGUCUGUAACUGACGCUGAUGUGCGAAAGCGUGGGGAUCAAACAGG
rnacentral:rRNA from 1 species